rnacentral:rRNA from 1 species
CCUACGGGUGGCUGCAGUGGGGAAUAUUGGACAAUGGGCGAAAGCCUGAUCCAGCCAUGCCGCGUGUGUGAAGAAGGCCUUCGGGUUGUAAAGCACUUUCAGUGGGGAAGAAAGCCUUGGGGCUAAUACCCUCGAGGAAGGACAUCACCCACAGCAGAAGCACCGGCUAACUCCGUGCCAGCAGCCGCGGUAAUACGGAGGGUGCGAGCGUUAAUCGGAAUUACUGGGCGUAAAGCGCGCGUAGGCGGUCUGAUAAGCCGGUUGUGAAAGCCCCGGGCUCAACCUGGGAACGGCAUCCGGAACUGUCAGGCUAGAGUGCAGGAGAGGAAGGUAGAAUUCCCGGUGUAGCGGUGAAAUGCGUAGAGAUCGGGAGGAAUACCAGUGGCGAAGGCGGCCUUCUGGACUGACACUGACGCUGAGGUGCGAAAGCGUGGGUAGCAAACAGGAUUAGAUACCCCUGUAGUC